UUUAUUCAAGUUCCUUUAUACUCCUCUUUUUAAAGAAGCUGUCAAGUUCUUUUUUUGCAGUUGACAGGAAAGGCCAAAUCUGUGGUACAGGAAAGGAGGCGCAAAAAAGAAACUUUUUUGUGUUGAUGUUUUACUAAGUGAGCUAAGGAGAAUUUUAGAAUCAUGCAAUUUACUCUGGAGGCAUUUACUGUACAUAGCUAUAGUGAUGGUAAUUUCUUUCAUUGUUGAAGUGAAAAGAUAACCAUCAAUCAGUUGUCAAUUGGUCAAUUGCAGAAGUGAUGAAAAGAAACUGGUAGGAACAAUCACUUCUGUGGCUACCUAGACCAUUUGGAGGCAUAAGAAAAGUAUGGGAACUGGAUUGCAUUUUAAAAAGGGAUUGGACCAGAUUUUCAAAAAGGUUAAUAGGCAUAACUUCUUUGUAAAGGAUGGCUUUGCAGUUAUGCAUAAUCAGGAAAUGCAUUUUAAAAAUGAAAAAUUUUAAAGACAAUGAAAAGUUUAAAAGUAAAAAUUAUUUAUUUAAUUAGAUCAGGUAAAUAAGCCCAGAAGACCUUGAAUUUCAGUGUGUUCCUAAUGGAGGAAUAAAUAUAGUUUACUAAUAACCCAACACAUGUAUUUAAAACAAAUUAAUGAAAAUUACUUUGCACUCAUGCCUUAGGUUCUAAUCUUGGACACUUUGAAAUAAAUAACUUUCCAAGUAUUUAUUAUGAGAAAUAGAACAUACAAGCUAAUUGUGAACACUGUUUUUAAGCAAAUAUUUACAGAUAAUUUAAUUUUUUUGAACCUAUGGAAGUUUAUAUAAAGGUUAAGAUAAGAGCAAUUUAAAAAAUCAUUAACUUGCAUAAAAGGCAAAUGGCACACUUAGGGACUUAGUGCUGUAAGCAAGAUUUCAUUUUAAUUUAUCCUAUUUUCCUAAGAAUGGCAAUGUUAUUGAUUUAUUCUGAGAGAGUUCCCCACACACAUAGUGAUUUUUUUUUUUUUUUUACCGUGGUAGGUAAUAAAAAGGAUUACAGGCCCCCAGAAGGAUGAGAUAUCAUCAGUUUGUAAUCCAGCCCAUGGUUUCCUAGAUACCGUAUUGUCUAUUCUGUUCCGCUAUGUGAAAAAUGUUGAAUAUCAACAAUGGGUUUCAGUGCUGUAUUGUUGAGUUUUGUAUGAACUAAUCUAGCUUCUCUAAAAAAAAAAAAAAAAAAAAAAAAAAGAAAGAAAAGAAAGAAAGAAAAGAAAGAAAGAAAGAAAAAAAAAGAAAAGAAAAAAAAGAGAACCACAGCUUUGGACAAAAGUCUAUAGCCAGUGCAUUUGAAAACUCCCCUUGCACCAGGGCUGACUGUAGCUGGGGGAAGACAUUUUACUCAUUUGCUCUUUCCUUUCAUACAGUCAGCUGGUCCCUCUUCUCAGGUGUAGAUCACCUAUUAUAAUUUUACCUAAUUUUGAUACUCUGAUAAGGAAAGUCCCAGGACUUAUCAGCUGGGAUAGGCCUCACUUACAAGACAGCUCUGUUCAGUAUUUGGAAGAAAGAAAGCCUGACAGGUUUCUUCGGAAAAGUGGCCAUCCAUGGAAUGAAUGAAAUGUUCUCUUUCUAUUCCAGGGAUUGCAGUGGCAAAGCUAGGCUAGGUCUUGGAGGCUGGUGUAAGGCGAUGUGGGUGAAGGCAGGAGGCUGAUGGAAAGACUGGGGGGAAGAAAAGCCGAAAUGGAUUCACGGUGCCUUGGAUGAAGGACGAGAGGGGAACUGCAAGCUCCUUCAACUGGUUCUGUCCGGUGAGAAGUGAUCAAGCUUGGGCUGACAAGAGGCUCAGGGAGCCCUCACGUUCUUUCGCUUUUUUACCUGCCAAUCAAACUGCUACAAGACAACACCCUGAUCUGGCAUGGACAUCGCGGGUCCAAGCCUGUAGCCCCAAAUCGGAUAAUCUCUGCAGCUGAUAACAAGCAAAAGAGAAGCCAGGCAACAGCCAUAUUAAAGAAGAAAACAAUCAACUCUGAGAUCCAACUUAGAAAUAAUGUUUCAUUCAAGAUAAGGCUCGUGGCUUAGGAGAUUGUGACCUGGCUUGCAUCAUUCUAAGACUUCUAUCGUCUGUUUUCAAAACCCAAGGAGGACCUCCUUUUCUGUGUGAUAGUUCCUCAUGCUUUGCCAGCCACUGGGUCUUUAAGGAAGCUUGCCAAGAGUUCCCGGCUGGGAAGGACAGUUCGAGUUCAUCAUAGACAAUGAGCUGGCACCACAGUUUAAGUGACUCACCAACCUGGUUGCCCACUUCAAAAUGUCAAGAACCACACUAUCUAAUUGAAAGAACUGUGUUUUAGCAAAGUGUAAUUGGAUCGCCUGGCAAGAUCAUCUCAAACUAUGUCUCUGACCUUGCCUUUCAGUGGCUAUUUUGAGCACAAGAGGAGAAAGGAAAUGAUUCCUGAAUUAUAUCUUGUUUUUAAAAAUUAAGAUUAAUUAAUACUUGGUUUUAUGUUCAUUCCAUUGUAGGAACUUAGUGAUUAUUACAAAACAGUCAAAAUAGGUCAUAGCAAAAUGAACGUUUAAGAUUAGGUUAAAACAUUCCUCUGAAAUUUUAGUAUUCACUUUUGAAGUGUCAAUUACUAUAUUUCUGUAAUUUCUCAUUUUUUUCUUGGCUUAGAGUCAAGAUGAAAAAUGAUAUUUGAAUCAAAGACAUUGUUUUGUUAUAUAGCCACUCCUUUCUAAAAUGCAAAUCCACCCUCCCCUCACCAAUGCUUUAUUCUUUGUGCGCGCACACACACACACACACACACACACACACACACACACACACAGACAUACACAGAACCAGCACCCAAAUGGUAGAGGAGGUCCUUCCAAGACUUCUAGGACCUGGAUCAUGUAAGCAGUAGAUGAGAAAAUGAAGUAAGAGAUAUAGAGUAAUAACAAUAAAAGUCAAUGAUUUCAUUUUACAAAAAAGUCAUUGUGUAGUACUCAGAUAUUUUUAAGAGCAAGUAUUAUUAUGACUAAAGUAUAUUAUACUUCUAAAUUAUUAUGAUUCUCAUCUAAUUUCAAGCCACACAUAGGCGCCAUUUGAAAGCAUUUUGUGUUACAACCUAUCAACAAAAAUCAACUAAUAGUUUUAUAACGUGCAUAGGUUUACCCCAUGGGGAAUUAAAAUUUUUAUCUGCAAGUAUUUCUGUUGUUGUGAGACUUUAGGACAAGACAACAUUUGGUGUUAACAUAGAAGAAUAUUCUAUGGCUUUUUUAGCUUUAAAGUUCAUUACUCUAAAAUAAAGUACACGUGGUAUUUUUUUCUUCCUAGUGUUCUCUUAUUAUAUGUAGAGUAUUUUCGGUUGUUGUUUUUAACGUAUACAUUAUUUUUAUUAAGUCAUUUCAUAAAAGAUAAGAUAUAUACUAAUAGACCCUUGGUUUUCUCCUAAUUUAAUUAUUUCAAGUCAAGCAAAAUUGGGCAAUUUUCUUUCAGGAAAAAAAAAAUAUUGAGCAUGAUUUUGAGGUAAAACUGAUUAUUUACAGCAUCUUUUCUCUAAUAGGCUAACAUUUAUGAUGGAUCUUAUUUCAAAGUUGAUUAUUCUCAAAGAAAAGUGGAGAUAUUAGAAUUUCCGAGUAAAUUGCAUUGUUUUAAAAAGUACUUUAAUGCAUUGUUCACAUUGUUGCCAGCUAUUGACCAAAAAAGAGAAGAAGAAAAAAGAAAUAAAAAAAGCAGUAUCUGCUCCAAACGUCAAGUUUUGCAGUUUGAAAGACUUGUACAUUAUAAUUGUUUUUUUCUUUUUUGGAAAGCAGUAGUAAUUAAUACCAAAGGCAUAGACAAUUUAGGGCCAUAACCUCCCUUCCCCCCUCUCCACCUUUUUUUUUUUUUUUUUUUUUUUUUAACUUUAACCAUGAUAGGCAUCUCUGCAAGGUAGGUUUUAACAUAUUUUUUUCCUAAUUUUUUUCCCUCCAUUCAGUAAGAAGGAUAAGCUUUUAGAGUACCCAGUCACCGUGGUAACUGCCAAAAAAAUUCUCCUGAAGUUUGAAGAGGUCAGCUAGCAGGGUCAACAACCCUGGCCUCUCUCUGAGCUCGGUCUAGCAUGCCCCAGCCUGCGGUUGGAGUGUCAGGCCAGAUCUGACCCUGGGAGGUGGACCAUUCUGGCUCUGAUAUAAAUUUUUCGAGUCAGUUCAUGGCCUGGACUCUCCAGGUGGCCUCCAAAAUCGAUUUUGACCCCCUGACCCUGUCUCACGGAGGCAUAGCAUCCACCCUAAGUAAGGAUUUAGCCAGGAAUGACAGCUUUCCACUGAGUGUUAUUGGGGACAGUAUAAACAGUUUGGAAAGCAAGUAAGGAGGUGUGAGGGCUAGCAAUCAUUAAAAGCACAUUAAAAAACAAUUUUUAAAAAUCUUUAUUAGAGAAAGUUGUAAAUGCAUAUCUGUUACAGAAUUCCUGUGAUUUGUAGAGUUUUCUAGUCAGUUUUGAAUAUAAAUAGGUCACAUAUCUUUAUCUUUUUGCAUACUUUGUUACAAAUAUGCAAAUAAGAUAGGCAUACUUGCUACAAAAUAGGUACAGCAGGAAUGUAAUAUGUUCAGAAAAGGCAAACUGGUUAUUAAAACACAUUAACAGGUAAGGAGUUUCUAAUAUUUUAAAUACUAAAAUUUUACAUGUGUAUUUUGAAGUUUUUAAAAUGGAAAAAUAAAGAACCUUUAAAA
rnacentral:lncRNA from 1 species